rnacentral:rRNA from 1 species
UACAGAGGUCCCGAGCGUUGUUCGGAUUCACUGGGCGUAAAGGGUGCGUAGGUGGCGGUGUAAGUUUGAUGUGAAAGCUCAGGGCUUAACCCUGAAAUGGCAUUGAAUACUACAUUGCUGGAGGUUUGGAGGGGGGACUGGAAUUCUUGGUGUAGCAGUGAAAUGCGUAGAUAUCAAGAGGAACACCAGUGGCGAAGGCGAGUCCCUGGACAACACCUGACACUGAGGCACGAAAGCCGGGGGAGCAAACGGG